UAAUAAUCAGGCCACUCAGUGU
rnacentral:miRNA from 1 species